CGAGCUGACCGGGCGGCCGCGGUGGCGGGAACCGGAUCUCCAGAUUCGUAGCCCACUGCCGAGGAAAGUCCGGACUCCACAGAGCAGGGUGGUUGCUAACGGCAACCCGAGGUAACUCGCGGGAAAGUGCCACAGAAAACAGACCGCCGCCGCUUUGCUUUCCGGAGCAGAACGGCGGUCAGGGUGAAACGGUGCGGUAAGAGCGCACCAGCGCUUCGGGUGACCGGAGCGGCUAGGUAAACCCCACCCGGAGCAAGGUCAAAGGUCGGACCGGGCAACCAGUCCGGCUGCGCGGGUGUUCGAGGGCUGCUCGCCCGAGCCUGCGGGUGGACCGCUCGAGGUACCCGGCAACGGUGUGCCCAGAUGGAUGGUCGCCACGCGCUGCGUGCAGCGCGGACAGGAUCCGGCUUACAAGUCAGCUCGUCCG
rnacentral:RNase_P_RNA from 1 species